rnacentral:rRNA from 1 species
GGGGGAAUAUUGCACAAUGGGGGAAACCCUGAUGCAGCGACGCCGCGUGAGCGAAGAAGGCCUUCGGGUCGUAAAGCUCUGUUAGAUGGGAAGAUAAUGACGGUACCACAAGAAAAAGCUCCGGCUAACUGCGUGCCAGCAGCCGCGGUAAUACGUAGGGGGCUAGCGUGGUCCGGAAUGACUGGGCGGAAAGGGUUCGCAGGCGGCAAUGCAAGUCAGAUGUAAAAGGCAAAGGCUCACCCUUUGUAAGCAUCUGAAACUGUAUAGCUUGAGAAGUGUAGAGGCAAGUGGAAUUUUUAGUGUAGCGGUGAAAUGCGUAGAUAUUAAGAAGAAUACCGGUGGCGAAGGCGACUUGCUGGGCACAAUCUGCCGCUGAUGAACGAAAGCGUGGGGGGCAAACAGG